GUUCUCGUAGUGUAGUGUAGCACAUGAGAUUUUCAAUUUCAUAGGGCACCGCGAUCAUGAUUGUGCCGAGAAUGAG
rnacentral:tRNA from 1 species